ACGCCGUAGACCGGCCCGGUGUCGAGUCCGGCUUCGAGCCGGAAGGUGCUUGCACCGGUGAUCUCGUCACCGGCGGCGAUC
rnacentral:tRNA from 1 species